rnacentral:rRNA from 1 species
UGCCUACGGGAGGCAGCAGUGGGGAAUAUUGCACAAUGGGGGAAACCCUGAUGCAGCAACGCCGCGUGAGUGAAGAAGUAUUUCGGUAUGUAAAGCUCUAUCAGCAGGGAAGAAAAUGACGGUACCUGAGUAAGAAGCCCCGGCUAACUACGUGCCAGCAGCCGCGGUAAUACGUAGGGGGCAAGCGUUAUCCGGAUUUACUGGGUGUAAAGGGAGCGUAGACGGCGAUACAAGUCUGAAGUGAAAGCACGGGGCUCAACC